GACAGAGGCCCCAAGCGUUAGGCGGAAUCACUGGGCUUAAAGCGUGUGUAGGCGGACGCCUAAGUGUCUUGUGAAAUCCCACGGCUCACCCGUGGAACUGCUGGGCAUACUGGGCGUCUUGGGCCAACUAGGGGCAGCCGGAACAAGCGGUGGAGCGGUGAAGUGCGUAGAUAUCGCUUGGAACGCCGAAGGUGAAAACAGGCUGCUGGGGUUGUGCCGACGCUGAGACACGAAAGCCAGGGGAGCAAACGGG
rnacentral:rRNA from 1 species